AGUAAAAUGGAGCGCACGCCUGUUUGAAUAAAAGGGGAACCUUCCUCUAAGACUAAAUAUGAUAUAUAUGUGAUAGCGAAAAGUACCGUAAGGGAAAUGAUAGAAAUAGCAGUUUUAUAAGCAGCUCAAAAAAAGAAAGUUUAAAUAAACGAUAAGAGUGUACCUUUUGCAUAAUGGGUCAGCAAGUUAAUGUUUGAUGCGAGCAGUAGAGUGAUAGUAACUAACAGUUUAGUUACUUUACAAAUUGCGCAGGUAAAACAAUUAUGAUAUAAUGAUGUAGUAUCAAAAAUUAGACCCGAAGCUUAGUGAUCUUACCACAAUCAGGAAUAUAAAAGUCCGAACGGGUUAUCGUUGUAAAGAUAUCCGAAGAAUUGUGGUAAGUUAGUGAAAGACAAUACUGACUAAGAUAGCUGGUUUUCUGCGAAACCUAUAUAAGUAGGUAAUUUAAAUAGAAUAUCAGAAGGUACAGAAUUGUGAUCUCAUGCAACUAGUUCUCAUAUUUCCUGUUUAUAAAAUAAUAGGAAUAAUGAAUAAUGUGCUUUUUGCGGACAUUGGGGGGUCGUGAAGACUCUAUCAGUGAGUAUUUGUUCUCGGAAGGACUAGAUAUGAAUAUUGAAUAAUCAGACAUAGUACGAUAAGGUUGUAUGUCUAAAGGGAAACAGCCCAGAACAAGAGUUAAUAAGGUUCCAAAAUUAUUGUUAAGUGAAAUUAAGGCAGUUUUUAUUCCAAACGGCCAGGGAAUAGGCUUAGAAGCGGCCAUUUUCUGAAGACCUCGUAACAGAGCACUGGUUUUGUUUUAAUUAAUUAUAAGGAUAAAAGCACCGAUAAUUUAACGGAUCUAAAUAAUAUACCGAGACCUUGUCCAAACAUAGUAAUGUAUAUAAAUUUUAUAUUGUAUGUUUGGGGUAGCGGAACAUUGGGGAAGUUUUUUAUUACACCUUUAUAAGGUAUAAUAUAAUAAUAACAACCCAAGUGAUAAUGCUGACAUGAGUAACGAUAAAGGGGAAUACCCUCGCCUAAAGCUUAUGGAAUUUAAUUAAAGUUACGGCCUCUAAGUUUAUUGUAUAUUUAAUAAAUAAUUUAUUAAUAAUCCCUAAAGGGGUAAACGAUGAGCAAAUCUAGAAAGUUUACAGUAAAUGACGUUCUUUUUAGUGACUGACGUACUGGAAAAGUGUAAACUUGGCAUAAGGGAGAACUUUACAAGAAGAUUAGUUAAACAAAUAACUAGUAAAUUGUACCAUGUCAAUUCAACCGUACCUAAAUACUACCACAAGUAAGCAAGUAGAGUAUACGAAGGCGUUCGAGUGAACAAUCAUUAAGGAACUCGGCAAAUUGACUCGCGUAACUUCGGGAGAAGGUGGACCGUCCCUUUUGAUUAAUAUCAGAUAUGGGAUAGGUGGCACGGAAUGGUGUUGUACGACUGUUUAAUUAAAACAAAGCACGCUGCAAAGAAAUGAAUUCGAAGUAUUGGGUGUGAUCUCUGCCCGAUGGCGGCUGGUUAUCGGAUUUGCUUAGUUGACUAAUAUAAGCUAGGCUUUGAAGGAACCCCCGUUCAAUGGCGGCCUUACCUAUGAGGGUCCUAAGGUAGCGGAAUACCCUGGCCGUUAAAUGCGGUCUUGCAUGAAUGAUGUAACGAUACAACAGCUGUCUCAAUGAUUGGCUCGGUGAAAUUGGAAUAACUGUGCAGAUACAGUUUACCUCUAGUUGGACGAGAAGACCCUAUGCAGCUUUACUGUUGCUAGUUACCGAAUAUGAUAUAAUGAGUUUUAGUGUAUAAGGUAGUUGGUGAGAUAAAAUUGAAACACCUUUGCUUCAUUUAUCAUAUUAUAUAAACCUUACAAUAAUUUAUAGGAACAAUUGCUAGGUGGCAGUUUAUGCGGGGCACAGAUCCCAUAAAAAGUACCUGGGAUCUCAAGUUUAACGGCUUAAUCUUGCUUUACUGUUUGACUUACAUGUCUUUCAGUCGCGUAAGCGGGGCAUAUGAUCACAAGAUGCAGAAAGGAAAGGUCUUGGAUUAUUGAAAAAGCUACGCUAGGGAUAACAGGCUAAUUGCGCCAGAGAGUUCAAAUUGAGUGCGGAGUUUGGCACCUCGAUGUCGGCUUAGCUCAUCCACAUGAAUGUAGGAGUCAUGAAGGGUUGGACUGUUCGUCCAUUAAGGAGCUACACGAGCUGGGUUAAAUACGUCGUAAGACAGUAUGGUUUCUAUCUUCUAGAGGUAGUUAGAAUAUAUUAAGGAUAGCCCCUUGUACGAAAGGAGUUGGGUAUGUUAACCUAUGGUUUACCUGUUGUU
rnacentral:rRNA from 1 species